UAGAAGAUAUAUCCACUCAGUAGACUUUACAAGGAGAUAUACUAUCUGCCCUCCAGCUCUCUUUUUCCUAUCUCCUGAAUGUGUGAUUCCUUGGGACUUUCCAUGAUGGAAUGAAUGACCUCCUUAAUUAAGUACCAACUAAUCACCUGUAUGGUUCAUCUUAACUAUCCCUCCCUCCAAAAUAUGGAUCUUUGCUGUGUCCAGUCAAAAUAAGUCGAAUGCUCACCAACCAGAGAACCAAAGGCCCCGGAGUGGGAGGGCAAGCCUUGGACAAUUUGUUUGACCUCUCUGAGCCU